AAAGGCGCAAUGAAAGUAAAGGUCCGCCUCGCGCGGACCGAGGGAGGAUGGGCCUGCCAACAGGCCGGCCCCGCACUCCCGGGGCGUCUCGUUCUCAUCGCGAGAUGAGGCGCACCCAGAGCGUACACGCUGGGACCCGAAAGAUGGUGAACUAUGCCUGGUCAGGACGAAGUCAGGGGAAACCCUGAUGGAGGUCCGUAGCGAUUCUGACGUGCAAAUCGAUCGUCGGAACUGGGUAUAGGGGCGAAAGACUAAUCGAACCUUCUAGUAGCUGGUUCCCUCCGAAGUUUCCCUCAGGAUAGCUGGCGCUCGUAUUGCGAGUCUCAUUCGGUAAAGCGAAUGAUUAGAGGCAUUGGGGUCGAAACGGCCUCAACCUAUUCUCAAACUUUAAAUGGGUGAGAUCUCCGGCUUGCUUAAAGCGUGAAGCCGCGAGAAUCGGAUCAACGAGUGCCAAGUGGGCCACUUUUGGUAAGCAGAACUGGCGCUGUGGGAUGAACCAAACGCCGAGUUAAAGCGCCAAAAUCGACGCUUAUGGGA
rnacentral:rRNA from 1 species